rnacentral:rRNA from 1 species
CCUACGGGUGGCAGCAGUGGGGAAUAUUGGGCAAUGGACGCAAGUCUGACCCAGCAACGCCGCGUGAAGGAAGAAGGCUUUCGGGUUGUAAACUUCUUUUAAGGGGGAAGAGCAGAAGACGGUACCCCUUGAAUAAGCCACGGCUACCUACGUGACAGCAGCCGCGGUAAUACGUAGGGGGCAAGCGUUGUCCGGAUUUACUGGGUGGAAAGGGCGUGCCGCCGGCGAGACAAGUCAGAUGUGAAAUCCACGGGCUCAACCCGGGAACUGCUUUUGAAACUGUUUCCCUUGAGUGUCGGCGAGUUAAUCGGAAUUCCUUGUGUAGCGGUGCACUGCGUAGAUAUCAG